GUGGGAGUAGCUCAGUGGUAGAGUGCAUGCUUAGCAUACACAAGGGUCUGGGUUCAAUUCCCAGUCCCUCCA
rnacentral:tRNA from 1 species